UCUUUCAGCAAAAGCUGCAUUGUCUUUCAGCAAAAGCUGCAUUGUGUUUCAGCCACAGACUACAACAGGAUUUGAAGAUUCGUUCAAAUAUUCGGCUGCUUUCUCUAUGGAAAUAGUCAUGAAGAGGUAGUGAGCAGCAGAACACAACAAGACGCAACAAGACACAACAAGUAAAAACUUAAUAAAUCUCAUCUUUAAAAUUUAAAUUGUUCUUAUACUUUAAGAGUAAUUCACAUUUUAAACUUUAAUAAAACCUUUUUGCACUUUUAA